GACGAACGCUGGCGGCGUGCUUAACACAUGCAAGUCGAACGGAAAGGCCCUGCUUUUGUGGGGUGCUCGAGUGGCGAACGGGUGAGUAACACGUGAGUAACCUGCCCUUGACUUUGGGAUAACUUCAGGAAACUGGGGCUAAUACCGGAUAGGAGCUCCUGCUGCAUGGUGGGGGUUGGAAAGUUUCGGCGGUUGGGGAUGGACUCGCGGCUUAUCAGCUUGUUGGUGGGGUAGUGGCUUACCAAGGCUUUGACGGGUAGCCGGCCUGAGAGGGUGACCGGGCAGAUGGGGACAGAGAUACGGCACAGGCGCGUGCGGGAGGCAGCAGUGGGGAAUAGUGCACAAUGGGCGGAAGCCUGAGGCAGCAACGCCGCGUGCGGGAUGAGGGCGUGCGGGUGGGAAACCGCUUUCGCCUGUGACGAAGCGUGAGUGACGGUAAUGGGGAAAGAAGCAACGGCUAACUACGU
rnacentral:rRNA from 1 species